rnacentral:tRNA from 1 species
CAGAAUGUGGCUAAGCAGUUAAAGCAUCUCACUUACACCGAGAAGACAUCCGUGCAAAUAGGAUCAUUCUGA